GCAGUCGCUUCUCCUCCCUUCUCCUUCACCCCGGCCCGCGCUCGCUUCUCCGCCCCGCACGCGCUCGCGGUCGCUUCUCCUCCGUCCCCUGCGAGAUGCGCGGCGGGCCCGCCGCGGAUGCGGUCGAUUCCCCUUCCCUUUGCGCUUUCUUAGGAUGUUCGCUGUCCUCCGCUUCCCCCCGCACCGAUCCUCCCCCUAGCCCGUCUUCGCCCCCCAUCGCAUCGCCUCCCGCACCAUCAAGAUUCCGGGGCCGGAGUCAUGCCCCCAGCGCAGCAGGUGGACCCUCCGCCCCAUGGCCGCAUCGCCUCCCCCCAGCGCUGCAGUCGCCCCUCCCGCUCUGCCCUGCGACGUCGCACCCUAGCGCCGCAGGUGCCUCACACCCCCAGCAGCCGCCUCCCAGCCUCUUCGCCUCCUUGGCUUGUAUGGAGAAAGGGAACCAUCGUUGGGCGCACGCUGAAACGGAAACCGUUCGAUCCCCGAGUCCCAUCUAUUCAUCUUCAGUUUUUUGAAACAGUACGUCGCCGCUUGCUUUAUACUGGCCUUCUUUCCCGUCCUAUUUAUGUAUGAUGAUACACACAACAGCUGAAGAAAAGUGGUACACAGCAGCUGGAUCAAUCUGCUCGGCCAGCUAGUAGCUUCUCCUCCAUACAAGCACAUCCUUGGAUUGAUCUGCUCUAGGAUUAACUACUUCGAUUUCGUCUUGGGUUUAUUACUGGAUUAAGUAAUCCACAACCGUUUUACCCAGGUUGUUGAACUAUUAUGGGGAAAUUUCUUUGACGAUAAUUCCCAACUUAUCAAAAGUUUGGUGAUCCUUUAGUCAGCCCUGUAAGCAUGAUUCAGUGAAGCCAUGGCUCAGAUGGCUUUGGCAAUUCUUUCAGUAACCAUCAAUAAUGCACUAUUGUGGUGUUUUACAUGAGGGGGUCUCAAUGCACUCAAAGUGAAGCAUUGCUAUCAGAUUAUUCCUUGCAAAAGUUGCUCCACUAUCAUCCAGAAUUUCAGACUGCAGUUGGUAUUGCGUCAGUUUCCCUUCUUUGCUUAUUUUUUUUUAUCUCACAAAGUGUACUUGGAUUUUUAAAUUCUAUUUCAAUACAAAUAUCCCGCCGCAACGCGCGGGGUAUCAACUAGUUUAUUUUAAUUCUAA